AACGCGAAGAACCUUACCUGGACUAGAAUGUGAGGGAAGGGCUUCUAAUAGAGUCCGUCUGAGAAAUCAGACCCAAAACAAGGUGCUGCAUGGCUGUCGUCAGCUCGUGUCGUGAGAUGUUGGGUUAAGUCCCGCAACGAGCGCAACCCUUAUUGACAGUUGCCAAUAUUAAGUUAGGAACUCUGUCAAGACUGCCGUUGAUAAAACGGAGGAAGGUGGGGAUGAUGUCAAGUCAUCAUGGCCUUUAUGUUCAGGGCUACACACGUGCUACAAUGGCCGGUACAAAACGUCGCAAUCUCGCAAGAGGGAGCUAAUCGCAAAAACCGGUCUCAGUUCGGAUUGGAGUCUGCAACUCGACUCCAUGAAGUUGGAAUCGCUAGUAAUCGCGGAUCAGAACGCCGCGGGAAUACGUUCCCGGGUCUUGACACCC
rnacentral:rRNA from 1 species